CCCUUAGAUGUUCUGGGCCGCACACGCGCUACACUGAAGGAGGCAGCGUGAACUCCUGGAUCGAAAGAUUUGGGUAACCCGCGAAUCUCCUUCGUGCUAGGGAUUGAGGUUUGCAAUUAUCCUUCAUGAACGAGGAAUUCCCAGUAAGUGCAAGUCAUAAGCUUGCGCUGACUACGUCCCUGCCCUUUGUACACACCGCCCGUCGCUACUACCGAUUGAAUGAUUUAGUGAGGACUUCGGACUGGGACCGAUGCGGCUUUCGGGCUGCGUCGGUAUUCUGGAAAGAUGUCCAAACUGUAUCAUUUAGAGGAAGUAAAAGUCGUAACA
rnacentral:rRNA from 1 species